AGCGAACGCUGGCGGCAGGCUUAACACAUGCAAGUCGAACGCCCCGCAAGGGGAGUGGCAGACGGGUGAGUAACACGUGGGAACGUACCCUUUGGUUCGGAAUAACUUGGGGAAACUCAAGCUAAUACCGGAUAAGCCCUUAUGGGGAAAGGUUUACUGCCGAAGGAUCGGCCCGCGUCUGAUUAGCUAGUUGGUGAGGUAACGGCUCACCAAGGCGCCGAUCAGUAUCUGGUCUGGGAGGAUGAUCAGCCACACUGGGACUGAGACACGGCCCAAACUCCUACGGGAGGCAGCAGUGGGGAAUAUUGGACAAUGGGGGCAACCCUGAUCCAGCCAUGCCGCGUGAGUGAUGAAGGCCUUAGGGUUGUAAAGCUCUUUUACCCGGGACGAUAAUGACUGUACCGGGAGAAUAAGCCCCGGCUAACUUCGUGCCAGCCGCCGCCGUAAGAC
rnacentral:rRNA from 1 species